GAUGAACGCUGGCGGCGUGCCUAAUACAUGCAAGUCGAGCGAAUGGAUUAAGAGCUUGCUCUUAUGAAGUUAGCGGCGGACGGGUGAGUAACACGUGGGUAACCUGCCCAUAAGACUGGGAUAACUCCGGGAAACCGGGGCUAAUACCGGAUAACAUUUUGAACCGCAUGGUUCGAAAUUGAAAGGCGGCUUCGGCUGUCACUUAUGGAUGGACCCGCGUCGCAUUAGCUAGUUGGUGAGGUAACGGCUCACCAAGGCAACGAGGCGUAGCCGACCUGAGAGGGGGAUCGGCCACACUGGGACUGAGACACGGCCCAGACUCCUACGGGAGGCAGCAGUAGGGAAUCUUCCGCAAUGGACGAAAGUCUGACGGAGCAACGCCGGGUGAGUGAUGAAGGCUUUCGGGUCGUAAAACUCUGUUUUUAGGGAAGAACAAGUGCUAGUUGAAUAAGCUGGCACCUUGACGGUACCUAACCAGAAAGCCACGGCUAACUACGUGCCAGCCGCCGCCGUAA
rnacentral:rRNA from 1 species